ACAUUACAGUACUACAGUACUUUUAUUCCCAGGUUCUAUUCAGAAAUCUACAUUUUCAGGUCCCUUUAUUGCUGUCUUCUCUCUUUCACGUAUUCACAUGAUUCUAUAUAAGGUCAUGAAAUAUGUAUGCCUUUCUGGAGUACAUCUUCCUUACUUCGUUUCACUAAUUCACCUGGUUCUAUAUAAUCCGAUCAAAUAUGUAUAUCUUUCUAACAUGCACUUUCGGUUGUGUUUCUUUCAACCUCAACCCCUGUAAUGCUUUCAGUUACUUUCAAGUAUCAGUUUCAGAAUAUUGAUUAACUCACUCCAAACUUCUAACCUCAUUGUUCUCCUGCCUCCUCCUUCCCCUCUCCACUUUCUUCUCCUCCCUUCUUCUCCCCACCCCGUAUUUUCAUGACAGGGUCUCAUACUUCAGGUCAAGGUGCCUUUCAUUUACAAUAGUUCUUUUGUAUCGGUUUCCUAACUGCUGGGUUUGUAAGCGUAAGCAAACACAGACUUACCUUAUUUUGAGAGAUGACAGUCCGAAAUAGUCUCACAUUAUGGUACAGGCUAGUCUGCAACUUGUUUUGGAGUCCUAGAGGGUCUCAAACUUGCAGGAGCCUUUCUGCUUUGCCCACCCAGCUUUGAAAUUAUAAAAUGAACCACCCCAUGUAAAUCAACUUUGUAUUAUGUACAUUUUAGUCAAUUGUCACAAUUCUUUCACAUGUGUGCCAAUUUAGUUUUCCCAUAGGCAGAUGUUUGAGCUUAUCUUACCCUAGAAUACAGCUCUUCUUUCCCUCGGCCUACAUUGUGUGUUAUCACAAAAACUGUUUCAGAAACAUACUAACCUUUCUUUUUCUCACUGGGCCCUUUGAGAUAUUACCCUGUUGCAGAUGAAAAUAACAGUCAUUGUUUUCUUUGAAUUAUUUGUAUAUCCUAGACCAUACAUUUUGUCAUGCAUGAAGAACAGACUCAACCUAGCACAGUCUUAGUGAAUGAAUGUCCAACAGACAAUUUUAAAAUUAAAAUAAACAUGCACAGUACGUAUAUGCUUACUUGAAACCCUUUUGAUUGUCCAAAUUUAAAAUCACUCACUAAAAAACUAUCAGAUUUCCUGUGACAAAUAAUGUACCCUUUACUAUGAGAUCUGGAUUAAGCUGUCAAUCUGUGGAUAGCCAAAAUAAUGUUAACAUAUUGGAUUAUCUUCAAAUUUUCCUUUGCACAAAUAACCCUUCCCAAUGUUAGGGUUUGCUCAUAUCUUACCAUAGAGUAGAGUCUCUUCCUUUCCCCAUGCCUACUUCCUGUUUUAUCUCAAAUAGUAUUUGUUUCAAAAACCAUUAAGCUUUCUUUCUCAGUUAUAUGGUCAUUUAUAAAGUCUAUAAGAGCCUUGAAGUAUAAUCCACUGGGCUCUUCAUGGCAUUUUUGAACAGUGUUGUAUGGAAGAAAAAACAAAAAGCCUGACAGUGGUAGUGCACACCUUUAAUCCCAGAACUUGGGAGGCAGAGGAGGCAGGUGGAUUUCUGAUUUUAAGGCCAGCCUGGUCUACAGAGUGAGUUCCAGGACAGCUAGAGCUACAUAGAGAAACCCUGUCUUUAAAAAACAAACAAAGAAACAAACAAACAAAUCAAAACCCAAACAAACAAACAAAAACAAAAAACAAAACAAAAACAUACUAAAGAAUCUGAUAGAUUAAUUACGAUUUCUGAAAGGUGUAGGAGUUUUGAAUAGCCUCACAUAAUUAAGUUUUGUGUUGUCACUUUUAAGAUGAGAUAAUAUCAAAAUUUCAAAGCCCCUGUGAAAAUAAAAUUACAUGUUAUAUUCAAAAUUAGAUACUAACAUGGCUGGGUCUCAGCUUAAGUGUUUUUAUGCAGUCAUUCCUAAGCCAAACUGAAUUAAGACCUCUCUGUGUGGGCUUAUCAUGUUGUCUUUUCAUAUUGAAAUUUUAUCAUGGAUUAUAACCUAUGAUAAUAAUGGUCAUUGUUGCUCUCUGUAAGCUCUCUGAGACUAGUCCUUGGUAGACUAUUAUAUACACAGACUCAGUUAAUGACCAUAUUUAUUUACUAAACAUAAGUGCAAUGAUUAGAAUGGCAAUUUAUUUUAUUUUCAUACACCUAAAUCAUCUACAUCUAAAUAAAUACAUACAUACAUACAUGCAUACAUACAUACAUACAUAUAUGCAUGCAUACAUACAUACAUGUAUACAUGCAUACAUACAUACCAUGUGAAGUCAAAUAGUUGAAGUCUCUUUUCACCCAAAGAAGGUUUCACAUAUUCUCAUGAUAUGCACCUUUUGAAAAGCAAAUCUUUUUGAAAGUUCUGUCCACAUUUUUAUGACACAGCAUGCUGGCUGGUUUUGUGUCAACUUGACACAAACUAGCAUCAUCUGAGGAGAAGUUACCUCGAUUGAUACAGUACCUCCAUAAGAUCAGGUUGUAGGCAAGCUUGUAGAGUAGUUAUUUAAUUGAUGAUUGAUUGGAAGGGUCCUGCCCAUUGUAGGUUGUGUCAGCCCUAGCCUGAAGUCCCUGGAUGCUAUAGCAAUGCAGAAUGAGCAAAGCAUAAUAAGCAAGCCAGUAGGAUAAGUAGUUCAUUAGUUCAUUAGUUCAUCAGAAUUUACUUAAAAUGGCCACUCAUAACUCGAAAAAAUAGAUAAUUUCCAGUGGGACCCAGCUUGCUCAUUUACCUGCUGAGUUAUUUUAAAUUUCAUUCCUUUAUCAUUCACUAAGGUAUUGAUCAUUGUCCUGUGAAUAUAUUUAUACUUGACUUGUAGCACUCCUCCAUGGCCUCUGCAUAAGUUCUUGCCUCCAAGUCCUCUCUGGUUCGAGCUCCUAUGAAGGAUUGCCUCCGUGGAUUAAAGAUCUGUGAUUAAAGAUCUAUGUAUAAGCCGAAUAAACCCUCUCUUCAUCAAGUUGCUCUUGAUCCUUGUGUUUCAUUACAGCAUUAGGAAUAUACUUAGUUCAAAUAGUUAAUUUUGUAAUUCCAGAGUACAUAAGCCAGGUGUCCCUUAUACAAAGUAUCAUCAACCAUGCUUAAUUUUUCUGUUAAAACAGUUUCAUUUUAUUUUUUUUUAUAUGUAUGAAUAUUUUGUUUGCUUGUGUAUACACACAUCUCAUGUUGAGAGUACCCGUGUAAGUCAGAAGAGGGCAUCAGAUCCCCGGAAACUGAACUUGCAGAUGGUUUUAAGCUGUCAUAUGGAUGCUGGGAACAAGACCCAACUCCUUUGUAGGAGAAGCAGGUGCUUUUAUGCAUGAAUCCAUCUGUCUAUUGCAGAAGGCUUUAUUUUUCAGAAGUGUUAAGUGCCUUUCUUAAUUAAAUGUCAAAAAUUAAGCAGUGAAUUGUGGUUUUUUUUUUUUCAUUUGACUUGAAGUUUUACACACCACCAAUAAAACUGAUUUUCUUCCAUAAUCAUAAAAACUCAUUUAAAAAAAAACAGGUUUUACAAGUGAGCAAGCAAAGCAAAAGGUCCUCAGCUCAUUCCCAGUUCUGUUUUCAGUUACAUAGGCAUUGCCAUUAAUUGGGUCUUCAAAAAGAUGCCAUUGACAUAGGAGAGGCUUCAGGAGAGCAAGGGAAAUAGGCAUAUGUAUGACAGUUCAUUCGAUUGUUACUAGAUCUCUACUCAGGAUUAGGAAUCCAGGCUGUGGAGUUCUUUCCCUAGACUUUUCAAAUACAAUGUGUAUCCCAAAGUUCAUAUUGUAAUGGCAAAUUUACUUAUGGUGAGUAUCAUCAAUAUCACCAAUAACUCCUUCCCAUCUUCUCAGAGCACUUUUAUUUUUCUAAUGUCUCAUGUAAUAUUAAUUGCAUUUCAAUCUCUAUUAUCACAAAUUUUCCUAUAUGGCACGAAGAGAAUAAUCUCUAACUGAAUGUACCGCAGGUAUUUGCAAUGAUAACCAAGUUAGCAUCUAAACACUUCUCUUGUUUGAAGGCAGUUUCUUCGCAAAAGUAGAUUACAAAAGAGAGCUCACUGGGCAAAGUACAUGUAGCACAAGCCAAAGGAGUUGGUUCAGGUACCAUGCAUCCAUGUGAGAGUCAGGCAGGUGGAAGAGAAUAGACGAUCCAGGUGACUUGUGGACCAGCCAGUCUAGCCGAUUGAUGUGCUCCGGGUUCAGUGAGAGACUUUGGCAAAAAAAAAAAAAAAAAAAAAAAGAUGGGAAAUAAUAGAAGAUACUUGAUAUAAUCUCUGUUCCCCCCAAAGUCACAUACUGAUGACCAUAUACAUUCACACAUCUACCCGCUCCACAUACACACGCAUACUCACACACACACUAAACGUGAAUUUUCCAUUAUGUUAUUCGAAGCGAUUCCAUGUUAGAUGUGCCACAUAAACAAAGUUUGGCCUUAAAAUAAUUCUAUUUAAUCACAAAAUAAAAAAUUGAUAACCCAAGUGAAAGUAAUCUAAUUCGCUACAUGUGCAGUUUUAUAGUUUCUUAACCUUGAAUUCCCAUGGGGCUGUUUUUAGGAUUAUAUUUAUAUUCUUAGUAUGGUUGUAAUAAUGCUAAAAAUCAAAGAAAUGUCAAAAUGUCACCUGGGAACUGAGAUUAGAAAGGGAAGGCGGUCCCUGGGCAAUCAUGGUCUAUAAGGAAAUGACAUUAUAUCUCCAUUACUACUAGAGUAUGAAAACUGAGCAAAACAAAGUGAGCUGAAAUAUUAGGACCAAAACCAAGCAAAGUAAAAGAAAGAAGCAGGAAGCCAUAUACUGAUGGAAAGGUUGUAAGCAACUUGACAUACUCAUUACCCUUAAAAAAAUCUUACCUUUUCAUAUCUAAGAUCAAUAUCUAAAAAUCAAAGAAUUUGCAUGGUUAUUUCAAAGAAUAGCUGCCCUACUCCCGUAAAUGUUUUUCUUGUUGAUUCCAGUUAGAUAAGUGCUAGGCUACUACUUAUGGGAAUCAAUUCUCAAAAGAAAAAAUAUCGCAGCAAAAGGUGAUUUGGGUCUUUGAGCAGUUAACUCCAUCUGUGAAAGUGCAUGCAAAGGAAAUUUUGCUCAGAUAUUUUGUACCAGAAUAAGCUAAAAGAAAAAAAAAAAGACUGUCUAUGGGUUCCUUCUCAUUUUUGUUUACCUGGACUUAAUGAUUUUACUUUUUUUUUGAUUAAGAGAUCACAUUGGCUGAGGCAUCCAAAAUGCAAAACGGUAAUUAAGAGUGAUUCAGGCAGCUCCAGCUGGCUCCGGAAGAGCUCCCCAUAGGUAGGCUGACAUUUCUAGCCUUUAAGAAUCCCUCUUUGGAUGCAGUUCAGAGCAGCCAACCUUGAUUCUACCCAUUUGAUUAAACAACAGAGAAACUGAAAAUAGUAAAAGUCACUUCUCUUGGGCCAGCUUAACCUGACAGAAAAUUCAAGGAAGGAAAGUGAUGGGAAGGGAGGUUACAGAUUAGUAUUUAAAAAGCCACUUAUCACUUCACAUCCUUUAAAGUGUGUGUCUAAUUAGUCAGUGAGCCUUUGGAUGGUAAAUCGUGUCACUGUCUCCGUGUUAGCUAUUUGUACAUAGCUGUUACCAAAAUACUCAAGAGAGCAAUUUAAAUGCAGAAAUUAUUUAUUUUGGCUCAUGGUUUUGGAGCAUAGAAUCUGCAGUUGCUUGACCCUAUGAACUUGAGAAGAACCCAUGGUGGCAGAAGCACAUAGGCUCAGAGAAUAGGGGCAUUACAGAUAUAGCCUUUAUGAUUCUCUCUCUGUCUCUGUCUCUGUCUCUGUCUCUGUCUCUGUCUCUCUAUCCCUCUCUCUCUCAUUUUUCUAGUUUUUUGGGACUUUUUUCCCUGCUUAGUCCUGGCAGUAUUAGAACUCACUUUGUAGUACAGGUUGGUCUCCAACAUGCUUCUGCCUCCUUCACUAUGGAAUUAAAGGCAUGUUCCACUGGGCCUGGCUUACAAAUAUAACCUUUAAAAGCUCAUGACCUACUUUCGCCAACGAAACUUUACCUCCUAACCAUUCCAGAACCAUCAAUAACAGUGUCACCAACUGGUUUCAAAGCCUGGAUUCAUCAGAUGAGCCUGUGAGCAACACUAUAUCUGAGUAUCUGAGACCUGUUAAAACAAUUUCUUUUUUCUCCAGACUUCUUAAAUGGUUGUUAGGCAAUAAGGACCAAUUAUUAUUCCUUUUUUUUUUGUUUGUUUGUUUGGGUUUUUUUUUUUUUUUUUUUGUUCGUUUGUUUUUCAAUUUCCCAUAUAAACAGAGAGCUUUGGGAAAGGAAGUCUCUGCUUUGGCUUCCAGUUCCUAAGAUGCAUUGGUUUUCUGUGUACCAUUUCCUUCAUCUUCCUCAUCCAUCCUAUCUUACAUAGUAGUGGCUGCUCCACAUUGUAUGCAACAGGCUGAGGACAGUUUCAAGAACCAUCAAAGUACAGUAAGUUUCACAACCAUAAAAUAUUCAUAUCCUCAGUACCUUCCUCAUCAAAUGCCCUCAUUUUAAACAACCAGUUCUUCUCCUUGUGACUCUUCGGUCCUAUUCAACCACUCCAUUCCCCCUCCCGUCCUAAAACAUUCUCAAAGGGUUAAAGUGGUGCAGAUCUAUUGUAAAAUAUUAAUUAGAAAACACUAAAUCCUUACAACUCCUCUUUCCCCCUCUCUCCUUUGGUAAAUGUCUGCCUAUGAUUUUGGUCAGUACUGAGCGUUAGAGGGAGACUGCCAGAACAACAUUCCCACUCUGGGAUAAAUGCCCUUUCUAACUGUGCUAAGCAAAGGUUGGAACUUACAAACACUACAUUAGGUUUAAUGAUCUAUUCAUAUUCGGACCUGGCACUUUCCAUGAAUGAUUUGGCUGGAUUAGCAUAAAAUGUUUAAGGAUGUUUUUGUUAAUUAUAUUGCACCUCUAUAAAGGUGAAAGAAACUAGAGUCCUUGCCUUUCUAUAUAAUAUCCUUCCAUCUUCCAUGGUAAUUGCAGUCAUCCCAUACAAUUAUGUAGGAAGCAUGAGUUUGGAUGUAUGGUUCUUUCUUUUCUACAUCAGAUGAUGCAGCCAUAAGUACACACUUUCAUUUGCAGCCAGCAUCUACAGGAAGCCUUCCAACUUCAUUUCCUUACUUUUGCCUCUUGCCCUUCUCAUUGCUCUCAAUGUAUGUUUGACACCACCACGGAUUUUGUUAUCCUGGGUGUACCUAGAGUCUUCUAUGUUCCUUAGAACAGCAGAGUUCCGUCUGAUCCUUAUAUUACUUUAUGCCUUACUUAACAUGGUGUAAACUAUCUGUGCUAUAUUAAUAUCCCCUUUUACAUAUUUCACUUACUUGCUCCCUUUUACUACCAAAGAAGGAAAUGCUACUGCACUGACCUCUACCUUCUUAAUUUUUCUAGGAAUCAUCUAUAAUCUCGGUUCAUGCAUCAUGCUUCCUCCUACCCGUCCGUCUAGGGGCAUAGCUAUUCUUUAUCAAAACCAUAAGUUUUGGUUGAGAAAUUUAUAAAUUCUCUACUUAUUUUAAUCUUUCCUCACAAGCCAUGGACACUAGGAUACGUUAUGACUUUAUAUAAUCAAACUUUAAAUCUCACUUCAAGAACUUCAGUGAGAGAGGAGAGGUAGAGGAGAGAUGAUGUAAUUAUGUUUUAAUUUUUAAAACGGAAAUGAAUUUUUAAAACACAACGUGUAAUGGAUAUCUCAUUGAAGGUUUUUUUUUCUCAUUUAUUGAAAAGAUAAUUUUUGUUAAUACAGUAUAUUCUGAUUGUGGCGCCCCCUACUGCAACUCCUAUCAGUUGCUUCCCACCUCCCUUCCUUUAUGUAUAUAUAUACAUUGUGGCUUCAAGUUUUGGGUUAGUAUGGAGUUGUAUAUAUGUAAACAUGGGUGCCUCUGCAUCUAUAUGCAUUUCUUGUGCUUUAUCUUUGGAUCCUUCUCUUCCAUUUGUUUGGCUUGUACUAUUUCUACUUGUUUGCGUGUUAUUUUAUUUAACUAUCCCUUAUGAGCUUGUUUGUUUUCUAAAAAGAAACAUAAAGGGAGUGGAUCUGGAUAGGAGGACAGGAGGAAGGCUCUGGGAGACAGUGGGGGCAGGCAAAAUCAUAAUCAGAAUAGACUGUAUGAAGAAAAUCU
rnacentral:lncRNA from 1 species